rnacentral:lncRNA from 1 species
AAAAUGACUAUUUGCUUUUUUGCUUUGUUUUAGAGCUUUAAAAAGUUCAACUGAAUUUAUUCAAGCUAAUUCAACCAGCAUUUCACCAUUAGAGGCACCUACCUGGUGAGGUUGAGGUGAGGAGAGGACGGGUAAAAAACCAAGAAGGGACGGGUAUGUACCCUAACUGGCUGGCAAAAUGGAAUCUUAUUCCUAGACACGAAUGGUACGUUCAUUAUUUAUGAUUCCUUCUAAUCACAAAACUGCUUUUGCCUUUCCGUGACACAGAUGAUGAUGGAAAUAAGGCAUGUGACUUCGCCAGCUGUUUUCUCCAAAGCUGAGCCAGAGACUCCUGGUCAUCAGGUCAGCAGAGCCUGUGUGAUCAGCAGAGUUCCUGGAUCCUGCAGCCACCUCAUUUAUCUGGGAAGGAUUGGGAUACAUGUUCACUCUUCAGCGUAG